AUGGCUGAACUCACCACCACCCUCAAUCAACUCCUCUACAACCAACAAUCGUUUCAGGCUAGCGUUUCCGCCAACAUCAACUCUUUAACAUUAGAAUUUCAGGAUCUUCGUGCUCGCAUUCCACCACCUGGGUUUGCAUCGCCGAUGCCUUCUAUUAACUCUGAGACUCACUUAUUUCCCACCACCACCAUGAAACUCGAGAUGCCAUGCUUUAAUGGUUCUAACCCUUUAGGUUGA